AGCUGCACCGGAUAACAGAAAGCCCUCCUUUGGCAGCAAACAGCCUUGAAAAAGUAAUUAGUUUUCCCAGAGUUAUUAGGAAAGGUUUCCUGAAUCAAUGAUUUUAUGAUUCGACAACACUCAGGGAAUUCAGUGUUCACUAAUCCCCUCCACAUCUCCCUUGACAAGCGCAGCUGCCCUGGGAUGGAUGCAGCCACCAUCCAAUCACCUCCCACAGGUACAGCAUGUGCUCGGCAACACCUGCAGUUACUCUCAAGGGUUCCGACUUGCAAGUGCACCUUAGCAGCAGCAUUGACAAGGGCCAUAUUUCAUUCCAUACAUAUUUACUGAUUAACAACCACAUUACAGCAGAGUACAUGUUGAAGGCAUACGUACCAAUACUACAGAACUGACAGACCUGCCCGUUGUGGGACAUUCAGACUUACAGCGAACCUUCUGCAGCAUCA